CCCUUAGAUGCUCUGGGCCGCACGCGCGCUACACUGGUCGAUGCAACGAGUUUCUUUCCUUGGCCGACAGGCCUGGGCAAUCUUUGAACAUCGAUCGUGAUCGGGAUAGAUUCUUGUAAUUUUUGAUCUUAAACGAGGAAUUCCUAGUAAAAGCAAGUCAUCAGCUUGCAUUGAUUACGUCCCUGCCCUUUGUACACACCGCCCGUCGCACCUACCGAUUGAAUGGUCCGGUGAAAUCUCCGGACUGGCGUGAGUCGGAGCAAUCUGACAAACACCGGAAAGUUGAUUAAACCUUACCAUUUAGAGGAAGGUGAAGUCGUAACA
rnacentral:rRNA from 1 species